rnacentral:rRNA from 1 species
AUUGAACGAUAGCGGGAUGCCUUACACAUGCAAGUCGAACGGAGUGGCGAACGGGUGAGUAAUGUAUCGGAACGUGCCCAGUAGCGGGGGAUAACUACGCGAAAGCGUAGCUAAUACCGCAUACUAUUGGAGCGGCCGAAACCGGAUUAGCUAGUUGGUGGGGUAACGGCUCACCAAGGCGACGACCACUAGCUGGUUUGAGAGGACGACCAGCCAAACUGGGACUGAGACACGGCCCAGACUCCUACGGUAGGCAGCAGUGGGGAAUUUUGGACCAGGGGGGAAACCCUGAUCCAGCCAUCCCGCGUAUGCGAUGAAGACCUUCGGGUUGUAAAGCACUGUUGGCAGGAAAGCGGUACCUGCAGAAUAAGCACCGGCGAACUACGUGCCAGCAGCCGCGGUACUUC